rnacentral:rRNA from 1 species
GUCCACGCCGUAAACUAUGCGGACUAGCCGUCGGGGGCGAUCGAGCCCCCGGUGGCGCAGCUAACGCGGUAAGUCCGCCGCCUGGGGAGUACGGCCGCAAGGUUAAAACUCAAAUGAAUUGACGGGGGCCCGCACAAGCGGUGGAGCAUGUGGUUUAAUUCGAUGCAACGCGAAGAACCUUACCUGGCCUUGACAUGCCGCGAACCCCCGGGAGACCGGGGGGUGCCUUCGGGAGCGCGGACACAGGUGCUGCAUGGCUGUCGU